rnacentral:piRNA from 1 species
GGUUUAAUGGAAUUUUGACUUGGGAAGAU